rnacentral:misc_RNA from 1 species
UGACGCUCAUGCACGAAAGGGGGAGCAAACAGGAUUAGAUACCUCUGCAGUCCGCACGCCCUAAACGAUGUCAACCAGCUUUUCGUUGGGGCCUUCGGGCCCUCGGUAGCGCAGCUAAUCGCGUGAAGUUGACCGCCUGGGGAGUACGGUCGCAAGAUUAAAACUCAAAGGAAUUGACGGGACCCGCACAAGCGGUGGAUGAUGUGGAUUAAUUCGAUGCAACGCGAAAAACCUUACCUACUCCUUGACAUGUCUGGAAUCCCGAAGAGAUUUGGGAGUGCUCGCAAGAGAACCGGAACACAUGGUGCUGUGAUGCUGUCAGCUCGUGUCGUGAGAUGUUGGGUUAAGUCCCGCAAUGAGCGCAACCCUUGUCAUUAGUUGCUACGAAAGGGCACUCUAAUGAGACUGCCGGUGACAAACCGGAGGAAGGUGGGGAUGACGUCAAGUCCUCAUGGCCCUUAUGGGUAGGGCUUCACAAUGUCAUACAAUGGUCGGGACAGAGGGCUUCGCCAACCCAUGCAGGGGAGCCAAUCCCAGAAACCUGAUCGUAGUCCGGAUCGUAGUCUGCAACUCGACUGCGUGAAGUUGGAACGCUAGUAAUCGCGGAUCAGCAUGUCACGGUGAAUACGUUCCCGGGUCUUGUACACACCGCCCGUCACACCAUGGGAGUGGGUUUUACCAGAAGUAGUUAGCCUAACCGUAAGGAGGGCGAUUACCACGGUAGGAUUCAUGACUGGGGUGAAGUCGUACUGUUGC